rnacentral:rRNA from 1 species
GAUCCUGCCGGCGGGCACCGCUAUUGGAGUUCGCUUAAGCCAUGCGAGUCGAGAGGGGUAAGCCCUCGGCGCACUGCUCAGUAACACGCGGACAAUCUGCCCUCGAGACGGGGAUAAUCCCGGGAAACUGGGAAUAAUACCCGAUAGGUCUGGGAUGAUGGAAGGCUCCCUGGCCAAAAUCUUCCGGGACUCGAGGAUGGGUCUGCGGCCUAUCAGGUCGUAGGGGGUUUUACGGACCCCCUAGCCGAAGACGGGUACGGGCUUUGGGAGAAGUCGCCCGGAGAUGGAUUCUGAGACACGAAUCCAGGUCCUACGGGACGCAGCAGGCGCGAAACCUCCACAAUGUGGGCAACCACGAUGGGGGAACUCCAAGUGCUUACACUUUUGUGUAAGCUGUUCUCGAGCCUAAAAGCUCGAGAAGUAAGGGCCGGGUAAGACGGGUGCCAGCCGCCGCGGUAAUACCCGCGGCCCGAGUGGUGCUCAUUAUUAUUGAGCCUAAAGCGUCCGUAGCUGGCCGGGCAAAUCUCCGGGUAAAUCGGGCCGCUCAACGGUCCGAAUUCCGGAGAC